rnacentral:rRNA from 1 species
UACGUAGGGUGCGAGCGUUAAUCGGAAUUACUGGGCGUAAAGCGUGCGCAGGCGGUUAUAUAAGACAGUUGUGAAAUCCCCGGGCUCAACCUGGGAAUUGCAUUUGUGACUGUAUAGCUAGAGUACGGUAGAGGGGGAUGGAAUUCCGCGUGUAGCAGUGAAAUGACGUAGAUAUGCGGAGGGAACACCGAUGGCGAAGGCAGCCCCCCUGGGCUAGCACUGACGCUCAGGCACGAAAGCGUGGGGAGCAAACAGG